rnacentral:rRNA from 1 species
GAAUUUUGGACAAUGGGCGCAAGCCUGAUCCAGCCAUGCCGCGUGAGUGAAGAAGGCCUUCGGGUUGUAAAGCUCUUUCGGCGGGGACGAAACGGUCCGUGCUAACACCACGGACUAAUGACGGUACUCGCCAAAAAAGCACCGGCUCAAUCAGGUCCAGCAGCCGCGGUAAUACGUAGGGUGCAGGCGUUAAUCGGAAGUACUGGGCGUAAAGCGUGCGCAGGCGGCUCCUUAAGUCAGAUGUGAAAGCCCCGGGCUUAACCUGGGAACUGCGUUUGAAACUGGGGAGCUAGAGUGUGGAAGAGGGGGGUGGAAUUCCAGGUGUAGCAGUGAAAUGCGUAGAGAUCUGGAGGAACACCGAUGGCGAAGGCAGCCCCCUGGGCUAACACUGACGCUCAUGCACGAAAGCGUGGGGAGCAAACAG